AACGAACGCUGGCGGCAGGCCUAACACAUGCAAGUCGAGCGCGCCCUUCGGGGUGAGAGGCGGACGGGUGAGUAACGCGUGGGAACGUGCCCUUUGCUUCGGAAUAGUCCCGGGAAACUGGGGGUAAUACCGGAUACGCCCUUUUGGGGAAAGAUUUAUCGGCGAAGGAUCGGCCCGCGUUGGAUUAGGUAGUUGGUGGGGUAAUGGCCUACCAAGCCGACGAUCCAUAGCUGGUUUGAGAGGAUGAUCAGCCACACUGGGACUGAGACACGGCCCAGACUCCUACGGGAGGCAGCAGUGGGGAAUCUUAGACAAUGGGGGCAACCCUGAUCUAGCCAUGCCGCGUGAGUGAUGAAGGCCUUAGGGUUGUAAAGCUCUUUCAGCUGGGAAGAUAAUGACGGUACCAGCAGAAGAAGCCCCGGCUAACUCCGUGCCAGCAGCCGCCGUAACAC
rnacentral:rRNA from 1 species